rnacentral:rRNA from 1 species
UAGGGAAUCUUCCGCAAUGGACGAAAGUCUGACGGAGCAACGCCGCGUGAGUGAAGAAGGAUUUCGGUUCGUAAAACUCUGUUGUUAGGGAAGAAAAAAUGUAUAGUAACUAUAUACAAAAGAGACGGUACCUAACCAGAAAGCCACGGCUAACUACGUGCCAGCAGCCGCGGUAAUACGUAGGUGGCAAGCGUUGUCCGGAAUUAUUGGGCGUAAAGCGCGCGCAGGUGGUUUAGAAAGUCUGAUGUGAAAGCCCACGGCUCAACCGUUGAGGGUCAUUGGAAACUAAUAAACUUGAGUGCAGGAGAGAAAAGUGGAAUUCCUAGUGUAGCAGUGUAAUGCGUAGAGAUUAGGAGGAACACCGGUGGCGAAAGCGGCUUUUUGGCCUGCAACUGACACUGAGGCGCGAAAGCGUGGGGAGCAAACAGG